AGGUUGUACAACACACACUUGGGUAUAGGUUUCUAAGAUGGUCUUUAACUUUUGUUUGUCAAGGGGAGAUAGAUGUGCUUCACUUACUGUGGUGUCGAUUAGCGUUUGUACAUUUGCCUCGACAGAUGCCAUUAUGAAUGCAGGUUGGGGUGGAGGAACAGAACUUAAUAGUGAGAGGGAUGGGUUAAGUGUCCUUGGAGGCUGCUCUGGUUGCUGGCCUGAAGGGAUAGAUAUGCAGUGAGGGACCUUAGGUACACUGGCAUUACCAGGUUGAAAAGGAUACUCCUCUUGUGGAGUAGUCUUGAAUUAAUAUUUUCUAUCAAUGACAUUUAUUUGUAAGCCACUGAAGAAAAUGAAAUCCAACCCUAAAAUCACAGCGUAUGCAAGUACUUGGGGGGACAGGAUAGCAGGUAGAGUAAAAGUUUGGUCAUGCAUAUUGAUUUGCAAUUGAACCCAUCCUAAUGGGACUUCUGCUUCACCAUUUGCUAGGUACAGUGGACCAAGUGUACAAGGCUUGAGUUCUCCUGGCAAGAAGAGCUUUCUCCACAGGAUUUCGUGGAUCAUGGUAUAGCUUGCACCUGUAUCUAGAAUGGCCUUUCCAUACCAGCUGCCAAUACUGACCAGAAUGAUAAGCUGUUGAGGAAUGAUAGCAGGAGGGGCAGGGGCUGGUUUAGAGGAUGUUUUCUUUAAAUUCUUAGAAUUUGACGUUUUGUUUGUUGUGGCGGUGAUAAAAUUGUUUGUGGCUUGACCUCCAGGUUUACGAGACUGAAAUGGGCGUGGAUUGGACUGGUGUUGUUUUGCAGAUUGGUUUGUGGGUAGGGGGGCAUAAUUUGGACAGUAACCAGUUGGUGUCCUAGCUUUACCAGCUCUUCCACGGUGUUUACACGUCCGCGUAACUGACUGGCUAGUACGUACUCUCUCAGCCAGCUCGUCUUCAUAAUCUUCAGAAAGAAAAGCGGACAAAAAAGAAGUCUCAAACUCACUCCAUGUCGUUAUCGAAGAGCGAGCAACCUCCCACCAGUCUCGUGCUG